rnacentral:rRNA from 1 species
UUUAAACGUAUUGUUAAAAACCAAGUGAUUAAUAGUUAAGUUCUUUAAAGCUAAAUAAUUUGGCGGUAUUUUAACCUUUUCAGAGGAACCUGUUCUAUAAUUGAUAAUCCACGAUAAAAUUUACUUUAAUUAGAAAUUUUUAUAUCGUCGUUUUUAAAUAUUUUAAAAGAAUUUAAUAUUUAAAAUUUUUAUAAAAAAAUAAAUCAGAUCAAGGUGAAGUUUAUAUUAAAGAAGAAAUGGGUUACAUUAAAAUUUAUUUUUGGAUUCUUAUAUUGAAAAUUGGGAUGAAAUUGGAUUUGAAAGUAAUUAGAUUGAUUUUAUUUUAAUGAUUUAGCACUAAAAUAUGU